GAUGAACGCUGGCGGCGUGCCUAAUACAUGCAAGUCGAGCGAACAGACGAUGAGCUUGCUCCUCUGACGUUAGCGGCUGACGGGUGAGUAACACGUGGAUAACCUACCUAUAAGACUGGGAUAACUUCGGGAAACCGGAGCUAAUACCGGAUAAUAUAUUGAACCGCAUGGUUCAAUAGUGAAAGACGGUUUUGCUGUCACUUAUAGAUGGAUCCGCGCCGCAUUAGCUAGUUGGUAAGGUAACGGCUUACCAAGGCAACGAUGCGUAGCCGACCUGAGAGGGUGAUCGGCCACACUGGAACUGAGACACGGUCCAGACUCCUACGGGAGGCAGCAGUAGGGAAUAUUCCGCAAUGGGCGAAAGCUUGACGGAGCAACGCCGCGUGAGUGAUGAAGGUCUUCGGAUCGUAAAACUCUGUUAUUAGGGAAGAACAAAUGUGUAAGUAACUAUGCACGUCUUGACGGUACCUAAUCAGAAAGCAACGGCUAACUACGUG
rnacentral:rRNA from 1 species